rnacentral:rRNA from 1 species
AUUGAACGCUGGCGGCAGGCCUAACACAUGCAAGUCGAGCGAGUGGCGGACGGGUGAGUAAUGUAUGGGGAUCUGCCUGAUGGAGGGGGAUAACUACUGGAAACGGUAGCUAAUACCGCAUACCAUCAGAUGUGCCCAUAUGGGAUUAGCUAGUAGGUGGGGUAACGGCUUACCUAGGCGACGAUCCCUAGCUGGUCUGAGAGGAUGAUCAGCCACACUGGGACUGAGACACGGCCCAGACUCCUACGGGAGGCAGCAGUGGGGAAUAUUGGACAAUGGGCGCAAGCCUGAUGCAGCCAUGCCGCGGGUAUGAAGAAGGCCUUCGGGUUGUAAAGUACUUUCAGCCGGGAGGCGUUACCCGCAGAAGAAGCACCGGCUAACUCCGUGCCAGCAGCCGCGGUAAUUC